ACGACAAGUAGGGCGGGACACGAGAAAUCCUGUCUGAAUAUGGGGGGACCAUCCUCCAAGGCUAAAUACUACUGACUGACCGAUAGUGAACUAGUACCGUGAGGGAAAGGCGAAAAGAACCCCUGUGAGGGGAGUGAAAUAGAACCUGAAACCGUGUGCGUACAAGCAGUCGGAGCCCCGCAAGGGGUGACGGCGUACCUUUUGUAUAAUGGGUCAGCGACUUACAUUCAGUGGCAAGCUUAACCGAGUAGGGAAGGCGCAGGGAAACCGAGUCCGAACAGGGCGAUUUCAGUCGCUGGGUGUAGACCCGAAACCAGGUGAUCUACC
rnacentral:rRNA from 1 species